CUACGGGAGGCAGCAGUGGGGAAUUUUCCGCAAUGGGCGAAAGCCUGACGGAGCAACGCCGCGUGAGGGAUGAAGGCCUCUGGGCUGUAAACCUCUUUUAUCAAGGAAGAAGAUCUGACGGUACUUGAUGAAUAAGCCACGGCUAAUUCCGUGCCAGCAGCCGCGGUAAUACGGGAGUGGCAAGCGUUAUCCGGAAUUAUUGGGCGUAAAGCGUCCGCAGGCGGUCUGUCAAGUCUGCUGUUAAAGCGUGGAGCUUAACUCCAUUUCGGUAGUGGAAACUGACAGACUAGAGUGUGGUAGGGGCAGAGGGAAUUCCCGGUGUAGCGGUGAAAUGCGUAGAUAUCGGGAAGAACACCAGUGGCGAAGGCGCUCUGCUGGGCCAUAACUGACGCUCAUGGACGAAAGCCAGGGGAGCGAAAGGGAUUAGAUACCCCUGUAGUCCUGGCCGUAAACGAUGAACACUAGGUGUCGGGGGAAUCGACCCCCUCGGUGUCGUAGCCAACGCGUUAAGUGUUCCGCCUGGGGAGUACGCACGCAAGUGUGAAACUCAAAG
rnacentral:rRNA from 1 species